AUUUAUGUAGUAUAAAAAGUAUAUUUAAUUUCCAAUUAAAAAGUUUAGGUUUAACAUAAAUA
rnacentral:tRNA from 1 species